GACGAACGCUGGCGGCGUGCUUAACACAUGCAAGUCGAACGGAAAGGCCCUGCUUUUGUGGGGUGCUCGAGUGGCGAACGGGUGAGUAACACGUGAGUAACCUGCCCUUGACUUUGGGAUAACUUCAGGAAACUGGGGCUAAUACCGGAUAGGAGCUCCUGCUGCAUGGUGGGGGUUGGAAAGUUUCGGCGGUUGGGGAUGGACUCGCGGCUUAUCAGCUUGUUGGUGGGGUAGUGGCUUACCAAGGCUUUGACGGGUAGCCGGCCUGAGAGGGUGACCGGCCACAUGGGGACUGAGAUACGGCCCAGACUCCUACGGGAGGCAGCAGUGGGGAGUAUUGCACAAUGGGCGGAAGCCUGAUGCAGCAACGCCGCGUGCGGGAUGACGGCCUUCGGGUUGUAAACCGCUGUCGCCUGUGACGAAGCGUGAGUGACGGUAAUGGGUAAAGAAGCACCGGCUAACUACGUG
rnacentral:rRNA from 1 species